rnacentral:rRNA from 1 species
UACGUAGGGGGCGAGCGUUAUCCGGAAUUACUGGGUGUAAAGGGUGCGUAGGCGGCAUAUUAAGUCAGCUGUGAAAAGGAGAGGCUUAACCUCACUCGUGCAGUUGAAACUGAUAAGCUGGAGUACAGGAGGGGAAAGCGGAAUUACUAGUGUAGCGGUGAAAUGCGUAGAUAUUAGUAAGAACACCGGUGGCGAAGGCGGCUUUCUGGACUGAAACUGACGCUGAGGCACGAAAGCGUGGGGAG